ACUCUGGAUUCUCUGCAGAAGGCAUACAUCUUUCGCCUUUUACUAAAGAUUUCCGUGGAGAAGAUAUACACACACACGCAUAUACAUAUUCUCAGCCUCUUAAACCUUAAGAAAU